rnacentral:rRNA from 1 species
CGGCGGACGGGUGAGUAACGCGUGGGUAACCUGCCUCAUACAGGGGGAGUAACAGUUGGAAACGGCUGCUAAUACCGCAUAAGCGCACAGUACCGCAUGGUACCGUGUGAAAAACUCCGGUGGUACAGGAUGGGCCCGCGUCUGAUUAGCUGGUUGGCAGGGUAACGGCCUACCAAGGCAACGAUCAGUAGCCGGUCUGAGAGGAUGAACGGCCACAUUGGAACUGAGACACGGUCCAAACUCCUACGGGAGGCAGCAUG